rnacentral:misc_RNA from 1 species
GAAAUGCGAUAAGUAAUGCGAAUUGCAGAAUUCCAGUGAGUCAUCGAAUCUUUGAACGCACAUUGCGCCCUUUGGUAUUCCGAAGGACAUGCCUGUUCGAGCGUCAUUAUCACCCGCUCAAGCCCCUGGCCUGGUGUUGGACGGCUUGGUGGACGCCCCGCACGGGGCGUCCACCGCUCCCAAAGACAAUGACGGCGGCCUCGUUGGACCCCCGGUACACUGAGUUCUUCACGGGACACGUAUCGGACGCACGGGUUUGCGGGCCACGGUCUGCCUCCCCUCAGGGAGAAUCGUUCUAAGGUUGACCUCGGAUCAGGUAGGGAUACCCGCUGAACUUAA